rnacentral:rRNA from 1 species
CCUACGGGGGGCUGCAGUCGAGAAUCUUCCGCAAUGGGGGAAACCCUGACGGAGCGACGCCGCGUGCGGGAUGAAGGCCUUCGGGUUGUAAACCGCUGUCACACGUUAUGAAAGAAACGGAGUUAAAAGCUCUGGGUCUUGACAAAGGCGUGGGAGGAAGCCACGGCUAACUUCGUGCCAGCAGCCGCGGUAAGACGAAGGUGGCGACCGUUGUUCGGAAUCACUGGGCAUAAAGAGCUCGUAGGCGGUGAGAAAAGUAGGGUGUGAAAUCCCUCGGCCCAACCGAGGAACUGCGCUCUAAACUGUCUUGCUUGAGGACCGAAGGGGACCACGGAAUUCCUGGUGGAGCGGUGAAAUGCGUUGAUAUCAGGAGGAACACCGGCGGCGAAGGCGGUGGUCUGGUCGGUUUCUGACGCUGAGGAGCGAAAGCUAGGGGAGCAAACGGGCUUAGAUACCCCAGUAGUC